GGCCGGCGAACGGCUCGGAUUCCUGCCCGGUGACAUGCGCGAGAAGGUCGACCCUUAUUUGAGGCCGAUCUACGACGCGCUGUACGACCUGAUGGAUUCGCGCAUCGUCGAGCGCGGCUUGCAAAGCGGCGAGAUCGAAAUCGCGCCGCUGGCCUUCAUGCGCGGCCGCACCCUGACCAAUGCGGCCAUCAUUCUGGACGAGGCGCAGAACACUACGUCGAUGCAGAUGAAGAUGUUCCUGACGCGNNNNNNUCAUUACCGGCGAUCCGAGCCAGGUCGAUCUGCCCAAUGGCCAGCCGUCGGGGCUGGC
rnacentral:misc_RNA from 1 species